rnacentral:rRNA from 1 species
GCUUAACACAUGCAAGUCGAACGAUGAAGCCUAGCUUGCUGGGUGGAUUAGUGGCGAACGGGUGAGUAACACGUGAGCAACCUGCCCUGGACUCUGGGAUAAGCGCUGGAAACGGCGUCUAAUACUGGAUAUGAGCCUCUAUCGCAUGGUGGGGGUUGGAAAGAUUUUUCGGUCUGGGAUGGGCUCGCGGCCUAUCAGCUUGUUGGUGAGGUAAUGGCUUACCAAGGCGUCGACGGGUAGCCGGCCUGAGAGGGUGACCGGCCACACUGGGACUGAGACACGGCCCAGACUCCUACGGGAGGCAGCAGUGGGGAAUAUUGCACAAUGGGCGGAAGCCUGAUGCAGCAACGCCGCGUGAGGGAUGACGGCCUUCGGGUUGUAAACCUCUUUUAGCAGGGAAGAAGCGUGAGUGACGGUACCUGCAGAAAAAGCGCCGGCUAACUACGUGCCAGCAGCCGCGGUAAUACNUAGGGCGCAAGCGUUAUCCGGAAUUAUUGGGCGUAAAGAGCUCGUAGG